rnacentral:rRNA from 1 species
UACGAAGGGGGCUAGCGUUGCUCGGAAUCACUGGGCGUAAAGGGUGCGUAGGCGGGUUUUUAAGUCAGACGUGAAAUCCCUCGGCUUAACCGGGGAACUGCGUCUGAUACUGGAUGGCUUGAGUUCGGGAGAGGGAUGCGGAAUUCCAGGUGUAGCGGUGAAAUGCGUAGAUAUCUGGAGGAACACCGGUGGCGAAGGCGGCAUCCUGGACCGACACUGACACUGAGGAGCGAAAGCCAGGGGAGCAAACGGGG